UAGUUUCUAAAAAAUUUUCUUGGAGCGCCACGGCGCCACGGUGCCACCUGACGGGGACCCGCCGGCGGUCGGUCGCGCCGCGAUGCCCGCCCAUCCCUUCCCCAAGUGCCCUCUGAAGCCCUGAAGCUCUGGAGCUCCGCGGCCGCCGGCCGCCAUCCCUGAAUUAUUGGGGGGCGUUCUGAGCCGCCGGAACCGUUCGGCCUGGGCAGGUGAAAAGGUCCGAUCUUUCUUGCCUUGAAAUCUUAAUUAUCCUCGUGAUGUCAGAAAAAUAGCUAGUAUAUUGUGUGGUGAGUAGAAAUCGGAAACCAAAGCAACCUGAUCUGUACAACAAAGCGCCAAACUCUCUCUUUUUUUAGACUAAAGGAGAGGGGGCCAGAUUCUAUCCCAUGAUGUUGUCAGAGUGAUUGGAAUGGUUCUUUAUCCUGCACCGAUCCGUCGAAAUAAAAGCGGUAUUGUACCGUAGAAAAUGCAGAGUAAUGAUUAGUGUGGAAUCAUUUCUUCAAUCAUUGUUUCGCAUGCUGAGGAGGAAUUUAUAAUAAGCCCAGCACCUUGAUUGGGUAUCUCUACAGGCAGAAUGCACGUGGUGUAUGUCGUUUCAGCGCCCUAAGAAGGGGAGAGAAUUGUCAACCAUAACUAGUGCACGCCAUGGAGGAGUCCAGUCUACCAGAUAGUAUAGGUAGAGUUGCCACCCAGUUUUGGCUCCAGACUUGAACUCCGCGCACUUUUGUUGCAUCAGGCUGAUACCCAUCAAAUUCAGGAAGAAGUGGCAGUUUUAAUUUCUUACUGUUUUUACUAGCGUAGAGUUUGUAGCACAGCGAUCAAUACAUACUCUUGCCUUUGGUGUAUUUUUGUGUGCUUGUAGCCUUCUAUGUUUGUGAAGUUGAAACUGUAUCAUACCCUUUCUUUGUCCAUGUGUUAAUCUGAAAGUCUGAGUGAGAGAAUUCCAAUUUUAGUUUCUCUGAUAGUAAUGGCUACAUUAUUUUAACUCAUCCAAGCAAUUUAGGAGCAUGGUCAUUCAGAUUUUAGAGAAUGAAUUUCUAAUUAUCUUACUCUUGUCUUCAGAUUCUCUGUAAUUGGAUCCUCAGCUCCAGCUUGAGUAUUGAUUGAUAACGACAUCAGUAAAUAAAAGUGUCAUUUAUGAUAUUGAGAUUCUGUUUCAUCUAGUAGUUGUGUGUUUCUGACCAUUUGGUUCAAAGUCUCUUUGGACUUACCCUUUUAUCCUUGGGUCUAUUCAGUUCUUGGGUUAUUCUUUCAAAUGGACCUUUUGGUGAUGUCAGUGUCGUUUAGCUUUUCUGACUGAUUUUGUCAUAUUGUGUACCUUAUUUGUUUUCUCCCAGCAAAGGCUUAAAAUAUUAUAAACUCUGUGACUUUGCUGCCUUAUUUUUCACAUUGAAAAUGAAAAAUAUGAUUACAGUAUGGUUGCUUUACGACUUCUGUAUUCUGGCUGUUCAGACUUCUGUCAUUAUUACUUUCAGUCAGUCAGUCACUACAAUAGUUUUGAUACCUGUACUGUUCUUCAGCCUCCCAAGACCUUUUAGGUUGCAAAUGCAUUUGAUGUAUCACAUAUUGACCCAUGGAGUGGAGUAGAUCAUUACUGUGCUGCUUAUAUGACAUUGAAUUCGUAAAAGACACCUUUCAGUGCUUUCAGUUGAAUGACAGACACUCAUUGCCUGUAGAUGGUGCUCUUUUGUUGUCUGUUUGGUACUAUUGGUAGUCCUUGGCAUAGUUUAUCAUUUCCAGUCUUUUUCUUUCUAGUUUCUGCUAGACCGUGAAUCGUGCAAUGUGAUAUAUUGGAACCUAAGUUUUGGUAGGUGCCGCCAAUGUAUCAAAACUUUCGGCGACAGACAAGCAUGAAACCUUUCAUUUUCUCAGGUAGGAAUCCAAAGCUGUUCAAGCAUGCAUUCAUUAGCAAAUAUUUUCUCCCAACAACAUUUAUCCUGGUUAAAUGAAAUUAGGACAGGUUGGUGCUACUAUUCAUUCAUUUGGAACAGUUUGACAGGCUGUUGUACCAGAAAAAUUGAAAGGAAAAGGAAUUAGCAACAGGGGAAAAAAUCCUUUCAGUAAAAUAGGACCAUUUCUUAGUUUUCCUAACCUCACAUGCAGGAUCCUAUCCCGUCAAUGUUGUCCUUUCCUUUACAUGCAGUCCGUUCCUAUUAGAUCUGUUUGUCACCAACAUGCCAGGAGUAAUCAUAUCAUGGCGUUCAUGUAUGGACUGUUUCCUAACAUAUCUUGGGUAGCUUAGUUUACCUACCCUUUUUUUCACCAAAAAAGGUUACCAGUAUUUAUUUUUGGGAGGACAUAUAUAUGUAUAUAAAGCAGAGUGAUUUAUGUCAGAUAAUAAUUUGUUUAACAAUUAGGUUAUUCCUUUCGUUAUUGCUUUUAGUGAUAUUAAGUGACAUCUAUGUACUGAUGAGGAAAUACAAAAGUAAUCUUGUGUGACUUCUUAUUGCUUUUAGUGGCCUAUUUAUAUGUGGAUAGUAUUUUUUUUGUUGAAAAGAUAUGUAGAUAGUUGAAAAGAAACCUAAUAAGAAUAAUAAGAGAAUACUUUAUGUCUCUAUGAUAGGUUUUUUGCAAAUUUUAUUACUCCCCAUUAUCAUAACUUGAAUACAUCUGAACAACUGGAUCUGUGGAUUCAUCAGCUGCGUUGAUUGACCCAUACUAGCAUCAAACUUCUGCAAAUGAGGCUAUCCUCCAGAAACUUAUCUGAAACUAAUCUGUGAGAGGCUUCAUGGAGUACUAUUUAAAUCCUAUGUGUUUAGUUUUGGAACCCUGUACAGAGAACAGUCUUCAAUAUGUUUGAUGAUUCCCCACUGUUUACAUCUGUGUCUUUUUUCUUCUGUUAUUUUGAAUGUUGUUUUCCUUCGACUCUGAAAUGUUCUGAGCAGCACUGCAUCUGGUUGAUUAAAUUUAUAGUGUAGUUUCUCCUUUUUCGUUUUCCUUUUUGAUUAAACAGGAGGGAAGGCCCAGUGCAGUUGUUCUUCUCAAGGUAGCACAGCAAUCCCUUCAAAAGAAAAGCAAAUUCCGGCUCUGCCUAUCAGGCGGAUGCAACAAUUUUUCUUCGCAUUAUUGCAGCUGCAAUCCUGGACCAAUGGUCUUUAUUUUUGCAUAUAAGGUUAGCAACCUGUAAUUGCCUCUAAAUUUGUCAUAUAUUGCUUUCCUGUUCUUGCUAUUCUAAGUGACAGGAUCAGAAUGUUUUCUGCCUUAAAGUAACGCCGAACUACAUUGUACCAUCUGUCGGUGUGAGAUACCGGGUGCAAAUGCACCUUGAUGCCUCUGAUGGCGGCUUAAGUACCAAUUGUGUUCGUGUUUUAGUGGUGGUUGCAUACGCUUAAAGGCACCUCCAAGUGUGUCACUUGUUCAUCUCACUGUCAGACCUUAUUCUGCAUGCCCAAGCCUUCCUUUCCCUCUCUGACGUGUCACUGUUACAGAUACUCUGCACUCUGUUUGAUUGUGCCUGCAUGCCCCCGGCUGGUGCCUUGACUUGUUAGUAAUAGCUUGCACCUCCCUUUCCGGUGACGCCGACCUCCUACUGCCCCUUUGCACUCCCUUUCCAUCCCUUUCCAUGACGGUGACCCGCUACUGGAACACUAUCAGAUGCUGCUUCAAGGCAUUUCUUGUGUGCCACAUUGCAACAUCAUUAGGUCAGCUUGCAUAUAAUUUUAUUGUGCACUUGCUGCUGUUUCCAUGUUCUUUUUGCUUAUCUGUUGUUUCUCAAGUUUUAGCACGUUAGGCUGCGUCUGCUCUGUUCCCCUGUUUCUUGUGGUCUAAAAGUUUACUUACCCUUAUGAGGUCAGAGUCCAAGACAAAAGUCUCAAGCUCCCAUGAUAACAAACUAGGGAAUUGGAGUUGUUGCAUCUCCAAACAAUUAGGGCCUGUUGGUUAGGUAGGUGGGGACUGUAACCAAUCCCCUCGGAUUGGUAAGGAGAAUGUAAUAAUUCCCCUGCCAAUCGGAGGGGAUUUGGUCUAACCGCAGUGUAUCCAAAUAAAGGUUUCAGCUUCUAGUGCUGCUGUACAAUAUCAUGGGACUGUCAAUUUCGUACAUCUAUUUCGUACAUCUAUACUAAUAUAAAAAAAACACCAGUUGUGUGGAAUACUUAAUCUUCACUGUCAAUUUUAUUUAGAAUGGGUCCCUGCUACAAUUAAAGCUCUAAUUAAUGAUGUCCUGCCCUCAACAAAUUAUGUUACUCAUCCCAUCUCCCAAGCUAAGGAGCUACUAAGUGAUCUGCUUCAUAGGUUACACGAUCAAAUUGGGAGAAAAAAAAGUUCAGGUGCAUUAUUUCUUUACUGCAGGAGUGCAAAGUUUUAUAAACUAAGUGGUGGUUAAUUGUUAUACUGUCUUAAACACGGAACUUUAGGAUGUCCAGAUAAUCUGAUGUCUUUUAUUUCCAUUUGAUUAAUUGCUAAAGAAGAUUCAGAAGAUGCAAGGAUUCCAUGGUGAUAAUGCAGAGGACAUCCUCGCUGUUCCCUUAUACAAUAGCAAUUUUACAGGGUUUAAGUGGAAUCAGACGCAUUUUCUGAUUAUUCUCAUGUAGGGUGAUUUGGAUCCAAGUUUGUUAGAUUUUCCAAAUAUCUAGGACUUUCUUAUAUCCAGGGCGACUCAUGUAGGGGGAGUGCAUGACUCAGUCCCAAAACAUAAUCUGCUGAAGAAAGGUGUGCAGCACAUUUAUACCGAAGCAAUUAUAAUUCUACUGAAA